rnacentral:RNase_P_RNA from 17 species
CAUUGUAAGAAAGACAAAAGAAAAGACGAAAGAAAAAAAUUGGGGAAACACUGGAAUCAUGCGAUGGGAAAUGUUUUCGGCACCUCGGUAUUGUUUUGUUCUGUUCCAUCUCAAUUUUAUGUUUUUUAAUUUCGUUUCCUGUGUAAUUUUGGAACCUUAAAAACAACAAC